GUCUUCUUACUGCGCUCCUUUCUAUCUACUGGUCGCAGUUUAUGGAUUUGCACAAGAAGAGAAAACUAGUGCUAUUUUGCCUUCUGUCUUUAAAGAGGUAUAUUUGACUGUUUUGUGAGAAAUUC
ensembl:snoRNA SNORA75 Small nucleolar RNA SNORA75